rnacentral:rRNA from 1 species
UACGGGGGGGGCAAGCGUUGUUCGGAAUUACUGGGCGUAAAGGGCUCGUAGGUGGCCAACUAAGUCGGACGUGAAAUCCCUCAGCUUAACUGGGGAACUGCGCCCGAUACUGGAUGGCUUGAGUUUGGGAGAGGGAUGCGGAAUUCCAGGUGUAGCGGUGAAAUGCGUAGAUAUCUGGAGGAACACCGGUGGCGAAGGCGGCAUCCUGGACCAACACUGACACUGAGGAGCGAAAGCCAGGGGAGCAAACGGG